rnacentral:rRNA from 2 species
CGGCGUGCCUAUACAUGCAAGUCGAGCGGAUCGAUGGGAGCUUGCUCCCUGAGAUCAGCGGCGGACGGGUGAGUAACACGUGGGUAACCUGCCUGUAAGACUGGGAUAACUCCGGGAAACCGGGGCUAAUACCGGAUAACUCAGUUCCUCGCAUGAGGAACUGUUGAAAGGUGGCUUUUCCCUACCACUUACAAAUGGACCCGCGGCGCAUUACCUAGUUGGUGAGGUAACGGCUCACCAAGGCAACAAUGCGUACCCAACCUGAAAGGGUGAUCGGCCACACUGGGACUGAAACACGGCCCAAACUCCUACGGGAGGCAGCAUUAGGGAAUCUUCCGCAAUGGACAAAAGUCUGACGGACCAACGCCCCGGGAGUGAAAAAGGUUUUCGGAUCGUAAAACUCUGUUGUUAGGGAAAAACAAUUGCCGUUCGAAUAGGGCGGCCCCUUGACGGUACCUAACCAAAAAGCCACGGCUAAUUACUUGCCACCAGCCGCGGUAAUACGUAGGUGGCAAGCGUUGUCCGGAAUUAUGGGGCGUAAAGCGCGCGCAGGUGGUUUCUUAAGUCUGAUGUGAAAGCCCACGGCUCACCCGUGAAGGGUCAUUGGAAACUGGGGAACUUGAGUGCAGAAAAGGAAAGUGGAAUUCCAAGUGUAGCGGUGAAAUGCGUAGAUUUUUGGAGGACCACCAGUGGCGAAGGCGACUUUCUGGUCUGUAACUGACACUGAGGCGC